UUUUUUCUGAAAUUUCAGAACUCUCCCUUAGCGUCUUCUCUCCCUCUCUCAUGUCCGUCUCUCCCUCUCCCUCUCCCUCUCAUUCUCACUCUCUCUUCUACGUGACUCUCCUCUCCAAGUUACCCUAGCACUUGACAGAUAUUCCACACCUCGUUUGAAUGUUAGAUCGUCUGCUUGUAGCGGUUCAAGUAAUAUAGAGCACGUUGUUGCGUAUCCGUUAUUUGCUGUUCAUGUAUCGGCGGUUUCUGAUAACUACUAGAGGACAGAUUUGAAGAAGGGAAGCCUUGCAAGGCUUAGUGCGCGUCGUUCAUAGGAGCCUUAAGGUUUCAAAGUCUAGCUUCAAGAAGAGGAACAUGCAAAAUGUUAAGAUCCCUUGUACGAAGUGAGAUGCUAGGCGACUAGGCUGUCAUUUCGUUAUAGUUUCUCUUGCUCUCUCAUGGUAGAUUCCAAUGUUCAAAUUAUAUCUAUGGAAA